CAGAGUCAGGGCAUAAUAAAACACAGCUUUCUCUUAGGUGUCUCCUGGCUGCAGAUAACUUAUCCUGGAUACAGCUUUGUCAUCCAGCCAUCCACAAGGGAAUUCUGUGGAAGUGUGUAUGCAUGGAAAGCAUGUGCUUUCUCACACAGUAGAGAAUUUCCUGUAAAUGGACUGGGAAGCCACCUUCUCCUGUGCAGGAAAAGGAAAGGAGCUGACAGACUCAACACAACAAGCUUCUCUGACCAGCAACAGCAUGGGAGGACUAAAAACCCAGGUAAGUCCGUGACAAUAUAACAGGUACAAUUGCAUUGGCAGGUCAUCUACAGCAUUUGAUCUACACUUGUGCGUGGUCAGAUGCCUGCUUACAAACACCAUCAACUAGAUUUAGAAAUAGCUUUUGAGUGUCCAUCUGGAUUGGCAGGGGGCAUGUUACUAAAUAGACAUAAGUAUUGAACUCUCUAUCUGAAAGAGUUAAAAAUGUUUGCACAUCUUGAAAGUACAGCCAAUAUUAUAAUGAAUUACCUACAUCUUCAGUGUCCACUUUGUCCUCACUGUUCUUCUUUAAAAUCUGGAGCUCUGUUUCUCAAAGUGCUGAAGCAGAUACUUG
rnacentral:lncRNA from 1 species